rnacentral:rRNA from 1 species
CCUACGGGAGGCUGCAGUGAGGAAUAUUGGUCAAUGGACGAGAGUCUGAACCAGCCAAGUAGCGUGAAGGAUGACUGCCCUAUGGGUUGUAAACUUCUUUUAUAUGGGAAUAAAAUGUUCCACGUGUGGGAUUUUGUAUGUACCAUAUGAAUAAGGAUCGGCUAACUCCGUGCCAGCAGCCGCGGUAAUACGGAGGAUCCGAGCGUUAUCCGGAUUUAUUGGGUUUAAAGGGAGCGUAGGUGGAUUGUUAAGUCAGUUGUGAAAGUUUGCGGCUCAACCGGAAAAUUGCAGUUGAAACUGGUAUUCUUGAGUACAGUAGAGGUUGGCGGAAUUCGGGGUGUAGCGGUGAAAUGCUUAGAUAUUCCGAAGAACUCCGAUGGCGAAGGCAGUUCACUGGACUGAAACUGACACUGAGGCUCGAAAGUGUGGGUAGCAAACAGGAUUAGAUACCCUAGUAGUC